ACGUUGCAUGUAUCAAAGUUGACAUUCUCCGAGAGACAACUGAGCUUCAGAGCUUCUCUCUCUAGAUAAUUUUCGCAACGGAGAAACGGCGGGACAGCCGACGUUGAGGCAGUUUUUACUUCCCAGAUCCCAUCCACAACUACAUCGGCAACAGGUUAAUACCAAAUUUGGCAGUUCCGAUAUCAAGGCCAUGGGCAGUACCUCGAAACCAAGGCCACUUGACAACCACCACAAAGCCGCCGGCGCCACCACCACCAACAACCACCACGUUGGAGCUCCUGCGCUUUCUAAGAUGAUUCGCCAAGACCUUAUCAUGAUGAAAGAGGCCAUGGCAGAGGUUCAGAAGAAGACUGAUCAUAUGAAUGUGCAAAUCAACCGGGUCUGUGAGAGAUUUGAGGAGCUCAAAAAAAGAGGGAAUGAGACU